rnacentral:rRNA from 1 species
UACGAAGGGGGCAAGCGUUGUCCGGAUUUACUGGGCGUAAAGCGCGCGUAGGCGGAACGAUCAGUCCGGUCUGAAAGCCCCCGGCUCAACCGGGGAGGGUGGCUGGAAACUGUCGUUCUUGAGGGCGAGAGAGGAGGGUGGAAUUCCUGGUGUAGCGGUGAAAUGCGUAGAGAUCAGGAGGAACACCCGUGGCGAAGGCGGCCCUCUGGCUCGACCCUGACGCUGAGGCGCGAAGGCCAGGGGAGCAAACGGG